rnacentral:lncRNA from 1 species
UGAGGUUCACCGAGGAAGAUGACCGGAGCUCUGGCUCCGACGAUGAGGUGUCUUACCUCUAAACCAUAUGAUCCAAGUCUCAUGUUCUAAUCUGGAUCGUUCCUUGUGAUUACCUCAUUUGCGACGCAGUUGACUCAAGAACACAUGGAGCGCGCGUUUUGGAUCAUCAGAUCUGCCACAUCAAUUAAUGAGGGAGAUCUGAUGGUCCACGUAAUUUAUAUUUUCUGAAAUUU